AUCUACCUUUUACAGAGGGAUAGCCCAGAGAAAUUUGGAUUAAUACCUCAUAGUAUAUCACAAUCGCAUGAUUGAGUUAUUAAAGUCACAACGGUAAAAGAUGAGCAUGCGUCCCAUUAGCUAGUUGGUAAGGUAACGGCUUACCAAGGCUACGAUGGGUAGGGGUCCUGAGAGGGAGAUCCCCCACACUGGUACUGAGACACGGACCAGACUCCUACGGGAGGCAGCAGUGAGGAAUAUUGGACAAUGGGCGCAAGCCUGAUCCAGCCAUGCCGCGUGCAGGAUGACGGUCCUAUGGAUUGUAAACUGCUUUUAUACGAGAAGAAACACUGCUUCGUGAAGCAGCUUGACGGUAUCGUAAGAAUAAGGAUCGGCUAACUCCGUGCCAGCAGCCGCGGUAAUACGGAGGAUCCAAGCGUUAUCCGGAAUCAUUGGGUUUAAAGGGUCCGUAGGCGGUUUGGUAAGUCAGUGGUGAAAGCCCAUCGCUCAACGGUGGAACGGCCAUUGAUACUG
rnacentral:rRNA from 1 species